rnacentral:rRNA from 1 species
GACGAACGCUGGCGGCGUGCUUAACACAUGCAAGUCGAACGAUGAAGUUCCUUCGGGAAUGGAUUAGUGGCGAACGGGUGAGGAUCACGUGAGAAACCUGCCUUUCAUUUUGGGAUAACACCGGGAAACCGGUGCUAAUACCGAAUACUCCGUCUUGGCGGCAUCGCUAAGCCGGGAAAGAAUUUCGAUGAAAGAUGGUCUCGCGGCCUAUCAGCUAGUUGGUGAGGUAAUGGCUCACCAAGGCGACGACGGGUAGCCGGCCUGAGAGGGCGACCGGCCACACUGGGACUGAGACACGGCCUAGACUCCUACGGGAGGCAGCAGUGGGGAAUAUUGGGCAAUGGGCGCAAGCCUGACCCAGCGACGCCGCGUGAGGGAUGAAGGCCUUCGGGUUGUAAACCUCUUUCAGCAGGGAAGAAGCGAAAGUGACGGUACCUGAAGAAGAAGCACCGGCUAACUAUGUGCCAGCCGCCGCAGUAA